rnacentral:rRNA from 1 species
GAUGAACGCUAGCGAUAGGCUUAACACAUGCAAGUCGAGGGGCAUCAGGGUCUUCGGACCGCUGGCGACCGGCGCACGGGUGAGUAACGCGUAUGCAACCUACCCAUAACUUUGGGAUAGCCCGUUGAAAGACGGAUUAAUACCGAAUAACACAGGGGCACCGCAUGGUGAUAUUUGUUAAAGAAUUAUUGGUUAUGGAUGGGCAUGCGUUGGAUUAGCUAGUUGGUUUGGGUAACGGCUCACCAAGGCAACGAUCCAUAGGGGAACUGAGAGGUUUAUCCCCCACACUGGUACUGAGGCAAGGACCAGAGUCCUACGGGAGGCAGCAGUGAGGAAUAUUGGUCAAUGGGCGAGAGCCUGAACCAGCCAAAUCGCGUGAAGGAUGACUGUAUUAUGUAUUGUAAACUUCUUUUAUGUGGGAAUAAAAAAGGGGACGUGUCCCUUAUUGCAUGUACCACAUGAAUAAGCAUCGGCUAACUCCGUGCCAGCCGCCGCCGUAA